AUAAACCCGGGAAACUGGGGAUAAUACCCCAUAGACUACAGAAGCUGGAAUGCUCUGUAAUCGAAAGGUCCGCCGCCUUAGGAUGGGUCUGCGGCUGAUUAGGUUGUUGUUGGGGUAACGGCCCAACAAGCCUGUAAUCAGUACGGGUUGUGGGAGCAAGAGCCCGGAGAUGGAUUCUGAGACACGAAUCCAGGCCCUACGGGGUGCAGCAGGCGCGAAAACUUUACAAUGCCGGCAACGGCGAUAAGGGGACCUCGAGUGCCAGGUUACAAAUCUGGCUGUCGUGAUGCCUAAAAAGCAUUGCAUAGCAAGGGCCGGGCAAGACCGGUGCCAGCCGCCGCGGUAACACCGGCGGCUCGAGUGGUAACCGUUAUUAUUGGGUCUAAAGGGUCUGUAGCCGGCCGGGUAAGUCUCUUGGGAAAUCUGGCAGCUUAACUGUCAGGCUUUCAGGAGAUACUGUCUGGCUCGAGGCCGGGAGAGGUGAGAGGUACUUCAGGGGUAGGGGUGAAAUCUUGUAAUCCUUGAAGGACCACCAGUGGCGAAGGCGUCUCACCAGAACGGACCUGACGGCAAGGGACGAAAGCUAGGGGCACGAACCGGAUUAGAUACCCGGGUAGUCCUAGCCGUAAACGAUACUCGCUAGGUGUCGGCAACGGUGCGACCGUUGUCGGUGCCGUAGGGAAGCCGUGAAGCGAGCCACCUGGGAAGU
rnacentral:rRNA from 1 species